rnacentral:rRNA from 1 species
AUGUUUGGUUCCCAAAAGUACACAGAGAGAGAUUAUUUUGGGUCUUGGAUGGCCAUAAUUCAGGUUGCACACAGCCUGAAACAAAAACCUCCGCCACUCUAUAAACAGAUGUCAUUCUGGGGCUCCAGCACCAGAACUUAUUGCUACUCACCGAUUGAACAAUUGGAUAGCAGGGGUGGGGAUCAGAAGAUGAUGUCUUCGUCCUUGUCUCCGCCGCCGACGAGUAUGUUGGUGGCGCCCCCGAUGGAGACGCCCCUCUUGAGGGCGAGAUCCUCGGCGAGCUGCUCCUCGGCGAAGAGCUUGGCCCACGACGUGGCGCACGCCGUCGCCGGCCACGUACUUGGCCUCGGCGAGCGAGAAGGAGGAGGCGCGCAUGGCCUCGCCCAUGGACUCCUUGGUGGCGACGAUCUUCUUGAGGAUGGCGCGGAACUGCACCGUGAGCGCGUCCGACUUCUUCUUGAGCAGCGCGUGGCCCCGCGUCGCGCCGAUCAGCCGCGCCUUCACCACCCCCAGCAUCGUCACCGUCGGCACCACGUUCAGGCGCUGGCUCUGCCCUGA